GGUAAAAUUUGGUUAGCAGCAGCAGAGAAGGCACCAUUACAUCACCAAAUUAGUGUGGCCAGCUUUGUCACAAUAGUCAUGACCAGGUUGUAUGUUCUUGAAAAGUUCUUAUUUUAGGGGUUUUAGAUAUCAAGGAAUCUUGUGGUCACAUUCAUUUUUGUGUCUUACUUUUUUUCUUUUUUGAUGAUUUCUAAACUAGGUCCUGGAAUGCCAUUUUGAUUUUCUUACGGGUGCUGCUGUUUUGAGGUGUUUGCAUUGAUAGUUACUAUGCUGUUCCUGUGCCUGUUUCUAAGCCAACAGGAAGUUUGAGUGUUUACUGGGAAGGGAUAUGUGCAGGUUCAAAGCAAUUUAAAAAAUGCAUUCCUGGGGACAUGUGCCACCUUUUUGGAUGCAGGCGAUUUAUGACAGCAUGGUACUGAUAAUGCUCAUCUCCUUCACUGACUGCUUUAAGAUUAAGAUGUUCAGCACGACCAUUCACGGGAGAUCCCACCUGGUCCUCUUGAUGUCAC